rnacentral:SRP_RNA from 1 species
GCUGGGCACAGUGGCUUGUGCCUGUAAUUCCAGCUCCUGGGGAGGCUGAGGCUGUAGGCUUGCUUAAGCUCAGGGGUUUGGGGCUGCAGUGGGUGAUGCCGAUCAGGUGUCCACGCUAAGGUCAGCAUCAAUAUGGUGACCUGUGGGAAGCUGUAGGUUGUCUAAAAACGGUGAGCCAGCCCAGGUCAGGAAUGGAGCAGUCCAAAGUUCCUGUGUUCAGAAGUAGUGGGAUUGCACCUGUGGUUGGUCCCUGCAGCACAGCCUGGGCGAAAGAGUGAGACACAGUGUGU